UCGAAACAAGUACAACAUGAUUUCUCUUGAAAUCAUACUGAAGUAGCCAAGAACUGACCAGAUGGCAAACCCUAGAUGUAAGUCAACGUGGCCCGGGGCCCUUGAAGGCUUCAGAGAAGGCGAGCAUUGAAAUAGAGGAGCCAUUGAAGGCUUAAGAGUUGAAGGGAGAUCAGUGGAAAAGAACGGAGAAGGGAGUCAGCACUUGAAGGGGAUAGGGUUAGGUUGAGAGUUUGAGAGAGGAGAUAAGAUGAGAGAAUACAUGGGCGGCAGAGUUUUGAAA
rnacentral:lncRNA from 1 species